CCCCUCUCGGGACUGCACCUGGAGAGUUUCCAGUACUCUACCAGUUUCGGCUACAGGAGGGAGAGUGAAGCAGAGAGGCCCAUUCCAUUCCUAACUUGGGCAGUGGCUAGCGAGUGGAAGGCAAUCUGCUACAAGU